GCGUUGUACUGGUAGUGGAGCAAGCCCUGGGGGAACACCAUGAUGUCGCCCGCGUUCAGCGUCUUGGUGUAGGGGGUGUUCGACCCGGAGCUGAUGAAGCCGGCGGCGACGGUGCCCUGGGUGACGAAGAGGAGCUCGGAGCCGGCCGGGUGGGUGUGCAGCGGCACGACGCCGCCCACCUCCAUGUCGAGCCUGGCCGCGGAGAUGCCGAGGCCGUUGACGCCCGGGAACUGGCCAACGAAGGCCGGGGUCACGGCGGCCUUGAUGAGGGGGUUGAUUUUGCCCAUGCCAGCCAGGCCGUGGUAGUAGAAGUCAUUAGCGCUGACGCUAGACUUGCACGGGUAGCCGGCCGGCGUGUCGCUGCAGGACAGGUCAGCGACGCAGAAGUCCUGCGUCAGCGCGAGGGAGGCGAAGGGCAGGAGGAGGAAGGAGAGGAGCACGGGGAGCAGCACCAUCUUGGCCAUGGCAACGGCUUACUACACAGCUAGCUCGAGAUAGUUUGAUGUGUGGAU
rnacentral:lncRNA from 1 species